rnacentral:rRNA from 1 species
UACGUAGGGUGCGAGCGUUAAUCGGAAUUACUGGGCUUAAAGAGUUCGUAGGCGGCAUUGCAAGUAGGGUGUGAAAGCCCUCGGCUCAACCGAGGAAUUGCGCUCUAAACUGCAGUGCUUGAGGAACCUAGAGGUGAGCAGAACAGAUGGUGGAGCGGUGAAAUGCGUUGAUAUCAUCUGGAAUACCGGAGGCGAAGGCGGCUCACUGGGAGUUUUCUGACGCUGAGGAACGAAAGCCAGGGUAGCGAACGGG